UACGUAGGGUGCGAGCGUUGUUCGGAAUUACUGGGCGUAAAGCGCGCGUAGGCGGCUUUGCAAGUCGGGUGUGAAAUCCCCAGGCUUAACCUGGGAACUGCAUUCGAGACUGCAUUGCUAGAGUAUGGGAGAGGGAAGUGGAAUUUCCGGUGUAGAGGUGAAAUGCGUAGAUAUCGGGAGGAACACCAGUGGCGAAGGCGGCUUCCUGGGCCAGUACUGACGCUGAGGAGCGAAAGCGUGGGGAGCAAACAGG
rnacentral:rRNA from 1 species